UACAGAGGGUGCAAGCGUUGUUCGGAAUCAUUGGGCGUAAAGGGCGUGUAGGUGGUUUCGUAAGUCUGGCGUGAAAUAUCUCGGCUUAACCGAGGCAGGUCGUCGGAUACUGCGGAACUAGAGGACGGUAGAGGCGUGUGGAAUUCCGGGUGUAGUGGUGAAAUGCGUAGAGAUCCGGAGGAACACCAGUGGCGAAGGCGACACGCUGGGCCGUACCUGACACUGAUGCGCGACAGCAUGGGGAGCAAACAGG
rnacentral:rRNA from 1 species